AGAAUCAACGCUGGCGGCGUGCCUAACACAUGCAAGUCGCACGAGAAAGUGGAGCAAUCCAUGAGUAAAGUGGCGCACGGGUGAGUAACACGUGAAUGAUCUACCUCCGAGUGGGGAAUAACUGAGAGAAAUCUUAGCUAAUACCGCAUAAUACCCACGGGUCAAAGCAGCAAUGCGCUUGGAGAGGAGUUCGCGGCCGAUUAGCUAGUUGGCGGGGUAAUGGCCCACCAAGGCGAUGAUCGGUAUCCGGCCUGAGAGGGCGCACGGACACACUGGAACUGAAACACGGUCCAGACUCCUACGGGAGGCAGCAGUGGGGAAUUUUGCGCAAUGGGGGAAACCCUGACGCAGCAACGCCGCGUGGAGGAUGAAGUACUUCGGUACGUAAACUCCUUUCGAUCGGGACGAUAAUGACGGUACCGGAAGAAGAAGCCCCGGCUAACUUCGUGCCAGCAGCCGCGGUAAUACGAGGGGGGCAAGCGUUGUUCGGAAUUAUUGGGCGUAAAGGGUGCGUAGGUGGAUACUUAAGUGGGAUGUGAAAUACUCGGGCUUAACCUGAGUGCUGCAUUCCAAACUGGAUAUCUAGAGUGCAGGAGAGGAAAGUAGAAUUCCUAGUGUAGCGGUGAAAUGCGUAGAGAUUAGGAAGAAUACCAGUGGCGAAGGCGACUUUCUGGACUGUAACUGACACUGAGGCUCGAAAGCGUGGGGAGCAAACAGGAUUAGAUACCCUGGUAGUCCACGCUGUAAACGAUGGAUGCUAGCCGUUAGGCAGCUUGCUGCUUAGUGGCGCAGCUAACGCUUUAAGCAUCCCGCCUGGGGAGUACGGUCGCAAGAUUAAA
rnacentral:rRNA from 1 species